rnacentral:rRNA from 1 species
ACGAACGCUGGCGGCGUGCUUAACACCUGCAAGUCGCACGGAAAGGCCUCUUUCGGGGGGUACUCGAGUGGCGAACGGGUGAGUAACACGUGAGUAACCUGCCCUUGACUUUGGGAUAACUUCAGGAAACUGGGGCUAAUACCGGAUAGGAGCUCCUGCUGCAUGGUGGGGGUUGGAAAGUUUCGGCGGUUGGGGAUGGACUCGCGGCUUAUCAGCUUGUUGGUGGGGUAGUGGCUUACCAAGGCUUUGACGGGUAGCCGGCCUGAGAGGGUGACCGGCCACAUUGGGACUGAGAUACGGCCCAGACUCCUACGGGAGGCAGCAGUGGGGAAUAUUGCACAAUGGGUGGAAGCCUGAUGCAGCAACGCCGUGUGCGGGAUGACGGCCUUCGGGUUGUAGACCGCUUUCGCUCAUGACGAAGCUUUGUGUGACGGUAGUGGGUAAAGAAGCACCGGCUAACUACGUG